UACGGGGGGGGCAAGCGUUGUUCGGAAUUACUGGGCGUAAAGGGCUCGUAGGCGGCCAACUAAGUCGGAUGUGAAAUCCCCAGGCUCAACCUGGGAACUGCAUCCGAUACUGGAUGGCUUGAAUCCGGGAGAGGGAUGCAGAAUUCCAGGUGUAGCGGUGAAAUGCGUAGAUAUCCGGAAGAACACCGGUGGCGAAGGCGGUCUGCUGGGCAGUAGCUGACACUGAGGCGCGACAGCGUGGGGAGCAAACAGG
rnacentral:rRNA from 1 species